GGCGAACGCUGGCGGCGUGCCUAAUACAUGCGAGUUGAGCGAUGAAGAUUGGUGCUUGCACCAAUUUGAAGAGCAGCGAACGGGUGAGUAACGCGUGGGGAAUCUGCCUUUGAGCGGGGGACAACAUUUGGAAACGAAUGCUAAUACCGCAUAACAACUUUAAACAUAAGUUUUAAGUUUGAAAGAUGCAAUUGCAUCACUCAAAGAUGAUCCCGCGUUGUAUUAGCUAGUUGGUGAGGUAAAGGCUCACCAAGGCGAUGAUACAUAGCCGACCUGAGAGGGUGAUCGGCCACAUUGGGACUGAGACACGGCCCAAACUCCUACGGGAGGCAGCAGUAGGGAAUCUUCGGCAAUGGACGAAAGUCUGACCGAGCAACGCCGCGUGAGUGAAGAAGGGUUUCGGAUCGUAAAACUCUGUUGGUAGAGAAGAACGUUGGUGAGAGUGGAAAGCUCAUCAAGUGACGGUAACUACCCAGAAAGGGACGGCUAACUACGUG
rnacentral:rRNA from 1 species